GAUGAACGCUGGCGGCGUGCCUAAUACAUGCAAGUCGAGCGAACAGACGAGGAGCUUGCUCCUCUGACGUUAGCGGCGGACGGGUGAGUAACACGUGGAUAACCUACCUAUAAGACUGGGAUAACUUCGGGAAACCGGAGCUAAUACCGGAUAAUAUAUUGAACCGCAUGGUUCAAUAGUGAAAGACGGUUUUGCUGUCACUUAUAGAUGGAUCCGCGCCGCAUUAGCUAGUUGGUAAGGUAACGGCUUACCAAGGCAACGAUGCGUAGCCGACCUGAGAGGGUGAUCAGCCACACUGGAACUGAGACACGGUCCAGACUCCUACGGGAGGCAGCAGUAGGGAAUCUUCCGCAAUGGGCGAAAGCCUGACCGAGCAACGCCGCGUGAGUGAUGAAGGUCUUCGGAUCGUAAAACUCUGUUAUUAGGGAAGAACAAAUGUGUAAGUAACUAUGCACGUCUUGACGGUACCUAAUCAGAAAGCCACGGCUAACUACGUG
rnacentral:rRNA from 1 species